rnacentral:rRNA from 1 species
UACGUAGGGUGCGAGCGUUGUCCGGAAUUACUGGGCGUAAAGAGCUCGUAGGUGGUUUGUCGCGUUGUUCGUGAAAACGGGGGCUUAACCCUCGGCGUGCGGGCGAUACGGGCAGACUUGAGUACUGCAGGGGAGACUGGAAUUCCUGGUGUAGCGGUGGAAUGCGCAGAUAUCAGGAGGAACACCGGUGGCGAAGGCGGGUCUCUGGGCAGUAACUGACGCUGAGGAGCGAAAGCGUGGGGAGCGAACAGG